CAUGACCUGAGCAGAAACCAAGAACCGGACACUUAACUGACUGAGCCACCCAGGUGCCCUCAGUAAGUAGCAUUUGAAGGGUUAAGAAGCAGAAGCCUGAGAGAAAGGAAAUAAAUGAGGAGGAUAGAAGCAAGGGUGAAGCAUAGACCAUGCCCUCAAGGUCUUCUGCAUCCUCACCAGCACCUGGCCGUCUGCAGGAACUCAAUAACUGCAUAUUGAUUGGACCCAACCUUUACUUGUCAUGAUUGCUUUCUUCGGAUCCCAAGGUAGCUGCUACAGGUAGUCAUUCAGGAGACUAAAAGGCACAUGUCUAAGCAUGUGCUUAUUUUAAAUUUAAUAUAUUCCAGUUUAUAAAGUGUCUCAUGAUUAUAUGAAAGUUAUUAAAACCCAUUUCUUCAUUUUCUCAGAUUUUUCACACAGAAACUUUCAAAGGAGAUCACUUCUCUAGCUAAUCCUAUUUCUUUCCUGUAGUCACCUCUGCCCAUGGUAGUCUUUAAAUACAGCACAUGUUGCUCAUGGUAACACACACGAGAGAAAGAUCUGGGAAACUCAGUGGCCUUUAAUUAUUCAGGAUUUAAUCGUGCAAGCAUGUACAAUCAAUAUUUGUUCAUCUUAAUCUGAUUACCAGCUCGUGGUGUUCAGCACCUCUAUCAACAGGAUAACGAUAUGACACAUUUCAUAGACUUUCCCUAUACUCUUCCAACAAGCUUAUUGGAAGGAUAUUAAUCAGCUAAUGAACUCAUCAAUGGCAUUUUCAGGAGCCACGGCACCUUCCCGCACCUACAUCCCACGACCAUAUUUGCCUGACAUCUUGUGGCCACGAGGAACAUGACAGUCUAUAAAGCCAACAUCUGUACACCGCGAGAACUACAUCUUUGAAUGCUAAUGUCAGCAUCACAGUUAGGGCAAAUACAAAACUGCUUAGGAGAUGUGUGACAUGUAAUUAGUUCAUCUAAUUAAAACGGAAACUAGCCUUUUCUUUUUAUAUUAAAAGGCAAGCUGGAACAUGUGAUUCAAUUCUUCUAAGGAAAGGAACAGGGCCUCUAUCCGUGCUGAACAACAUCUGGCUUAGUGUCAACUACUGUGGCCACAGAACACUUCUCCUGUGAAGGAUCCACCAAACCAGAAUGUGGCUCACUGGCCUGAGCAUAGAAAGAGGACCUGUGGUCAGCUCCUCUGGGAAAGAGGAUUUCAAGCUGAGAUUGCUGCAGCAAAGGGGGAAAAAUCCUCUGGCUGCUAAAGAGAGGACUGAUAAAAGGUUUCAUUUUCAACACAUAUGGUAUAGUGUUGUGGCUCACAAACUUUGUUUUUCAGCACCAGGAACAUUUUGUUCAAAACCAAAUUUAGUGUGGAAUUCUAUAAAUAUAAAACAGAAAACAUUUUAAAAAGAUGCUUUGAUUGAAGCAGGUGAUCUGAGCUCCCCUGGCUUUAGCUGCCCUUGUUCCCCUGAGAUCCUGCCCCAAACCCAGAGCUUGGAGGAAACAGCUUGAAAACCAUUAGAAAGAUGGAAAUUAUUAGAUUUGAAAUCAGAACUCCUAGUUUUGUAUUCCAACUCUCCCUCUUGCUAGCUGAGCAUCAUCUAAUAAGUCAUUAACCUUUCAAAACCUCAGGUUCUUCAUCUAUAAAAUAGGGGAAAUAAUAUUUAUUCCACGGGGUUAUUGGCAACAUUAAAAGAGGCAGUAAAAUGAAAGUGCUGUGUAAUUGCUAGACAAAUGAUUGUGUUGUCAUCAUCAGACAGCUGUAAUGGGUAGUCACGCAACCAAGAGGAACAAGCUCCAGACAAUGCCUUGCAUUGCCUUCUUGACCAGCUCCCAGGAAAUCUGGAGGAAUCCAUUGGAAGCUUCAUUUGACAAAUAUGACUCUGACACUGGUACCCACUCCCACCUUAUGAGAUAACCACAUCAGAAGAUGCGCUUCUUAAAAGAAGGUACACAGAGGCACAGAGAGGUUGUAGUUUGUCUCUGAGCACACAGCAAGCUCGUGACGGACCUAGAACUAGAUUCCAUUUGUCUCGUCUCUCUGUGAUCAUCUACCUGCCUAGGACAGCCUGCCUUACAUAGGACCCCAGUCUACGUCUGUGAAGGGAGGAAGGACAACCAGGGCUGCACUGAAGAAAUCCAAUGAAAAUAACAGUAAGGCAAUUCCAGAAUCAUUUCUGGAAGCUGGGAGGUGCCUGGGAUCAGCAGGAAGAAAGGGAGCAUUUGCUUCCCUUGGGGAUGGAAUAUGUUCUCUCUGCUAGGAAUAGAAUCAGGAGAUGUUUCUAGGUAUUACCAAUGGAGGAAUAAUCUGGACCAACCACAAUAAUCUUGAUUGACCAUCCCAUGACUGGGUGGGUACCCAGAGCCCGAAGAGAGUGUGCUACUGAGUGAGGAGGUGAAGCCAGAGGCACCGCCGUGACAGCCAGCUGGAUGUGAUCCAUGAGCUAGGAUGCAGACAAACACAGAAGCCCUGGCUUAUCCCACAGCACAUGUUUAACUAGAAUAACUUCUGAGGAAAAGACAUAUCAUUUCCAGGGGAGAACUUCAAGAAUGAGUUAUGUGAUGCAUGAUUCUGACCCAAAAAAGAGGAUAUAAGAAGGAUCAUAUAUCCUACCAAACCCUCUCCUUUGGCUGAAAAUUAUAUGGUUGUAUUGUAUCAUUAAAGAUAAUUCAAAAGAAAAUGGAUA